rnacentral:rRNA from 1 species
UACGGAGGGUGCAAGCGUUAAUCGGAAUUACUGGGCGUAAAGCGUGCGUAGGCGGUUAUUUAAGUCAGAUGUGAAAGCCCCGGGCUUAACCUGGGAACUGCAUUUGUGACUGGCGGGCUAGAGUAUGGCAGAGGGGGGUAGAAUUCCACGUGUAGCAGUGAAAUGCGUAGAGAUGUGGAGGAAUACCAAUGGCGAAGGCAGCCCCCUGGGCCAAUACUGACGCUCAUGCACGAAAGCGUGGGGAGCAAACAGG